UGUUAACCUCAUUUCUUCCUCUGCUAACUCUCUUCUUAUCCUUUUGAACAUCUAGACU
rnacentral:sRNA from 1 species